GACCAAUCAAGCUGACGGUUGAAGAAUUAGAAGUUUCAUUGAAGAAUGCAGAGUGCUCUGAAUAUCAGUGAACCCAUUAGCAUGUUUGGGCUGGUCCCUCUGCUUCAUGGGUCACGCAGCUGGUACAACCUUCCUACUUCCUUCCCCAUCAUUCAUCAGCUGUCACAGGACUGCAAACAUAAAUGAACCCACCAGGCG